GACAUUGGAGAUUGCUGACAGGCAGCCUUUCCUACUUGCCCUGGAAGAGACCCCCGCAGAGGCAGCCCCCACUGCCUGUACCCCCUCCACCAGCUCCAUGCCUCCCCUAUCACUGGGAGCCUCCCACCUGAUGGCCUCAGAGUGCCCAGGGCUAGGGAACACCCAGGGCUGCUGGGCACAGGCAAGCCCUGUAGUGAGCCCCGGCCCCCACACUCCUGUGAGCCCUGAUUUGCGCUCCCAACCCCACUGUUAGACCCUUGUCAUCUCUGUGAGCCUUCUGUGAGUCCCUGCUCCUGCCCUGAACCCACAUCCUUCCUCCAAACUCCAGAGCCUGCACCUCCUGCUCUUCCCUGGCCUCUGACUGACUGCUACAGGGCCAGCUGGGGUCACUCCUCCCUCGCACCACCAUGCUCUUCACUGCCUGCCUUGGGCCUGACACCAGGGAGCCCCUUGGAGGAGCCAGGCCCUCCAGUGGACCCCCUCCCAGAUCCCACUGUAGGCCUAGUGUUGGGGGAGGGUUCCCCUGCUCCAAGGCCCUGCACUGGCUGGCCCCUCUGUGGUGCGUCCUUUACUUUAAACACAUGCGGACUCCCAGGAAAGCUGGGAAGUUCAUGCAAGUUCCGUGAAGGUCACGAAGUUCCCCUGCCCUGGGAUGCUGGACAAAUUCGCCCAGGCAUUCUGUAGUACGGCCCGUGGGGAGGACUCCAGCUCUCUGCUUUGGGGGGCUGUGAGUUUGGGGAGGAAGAGCCCAUCUCACAAAUGGUACCCAUACAGUGCUCGGCCAUGGCACUGGCCUGGGUCAUGGCAGAGACAGCAGUGAUCACUGCGACGGUGGGACUCCUCUGUCCUGCCACCCUGGGAGGCAGGGUCCUUCCUGCCGCAGUGGUGGGAGGUGGGUCUGGUGGCAGGUGCAUCUCCUGGCAGGAUCUGUCUGCUCUCCUCAUCUUGGCUCCACCCAUCACUGAAGCCCUCAGGGGUCUAAGCCCAGUCUAAGUCCAAGCAGCCUUAGCCACCAGGAGCGCUUUCAGCUGACUUGGUUUCCCUCCGACAGGCCCCGCUGUGUGUCUUGCUCCUGUGCACCCGCCUCGUGUUUAGGCUCCUCCUCUCCAAAGCCACCCUGUGUCCC
rnacentral:lncRNA from 1 species